rnacentral:rRNA from 1 species
CAACAUGAGAGUUUGAUCCUGGCUCAGAGCGAACGUUGGCGGCAGGCUUAACACAUGCAAGUCGAACGAGAAACUACCUUCGGGUAGUGGAAAGUGGCGAACGGGUGAGUAUAACUUGGGAAUCUACCUUGAUCUGGGGGAUAACUGUUGGAAACAGCAGCUAAUACCGCAUAAUCCAUAUUGGGAAAGCUCCGGCGGAUUAAGAUGAGCCCAAGCCUGAUUAGCUAGUUGGUGGGGUAAAAGCCUACCAAGGCAACGAUCAGUAGCUGGUUUGAGAGGAUGAUCAGCCACACUGGAACUGAGACACGGUCCAGACUCCUACGGGA